rnacentral:sRNA from 2 species
CCGCCUCGAACACCCGACCACGGCAGGAGCGGGGGACCCACAGGUAGAACGCCUGCUCCGGUCUCCGGAACAGGCUAGGGGUCAAGUCACGUCCAGGCGUGACCGGACAUCUCCAGUCCGCACCCGACAGCUCACCUCGCAGGCGCCGGAGAAAGAAUUC